GAUAGUGGCGAACGGGUGAGUAACACGUGAGUAACCUGCCCUGGACUCUGGGAUAACUGCGGGAAACUGUAGCUAAUACCGGAUAUGACCUUGGAUCGCAUGAUUCUUGGUGGAAAGUUUUUCGGUCUGGGAUGGACUCGCGGCCUAUCAGCUUGUUGGUGAGGUAAUGGCUCACCAAGGCGUCGACGGGUAGCCGGCCUGAGAGGGUGACCGGCCACACUGGGACUGAGACACGGCCCAGACUCCUACGGGAGGCAGCAGUGGGGAAUAUUGCACAAUGGGCGCAAGCCUGAUGCAGCAACGCCGCGUGGGGGAUGACGGCCUUCGGGUUGUAAACCUCUUUUAGUAAGGAAGAAGCCUUCGGGUGACGGUACUUGCAGAAAAAGCACCGGCUAACUACGUGCCAGCAGCCGCGGUAAUACGUAGGGUGCAAGCGUUGUCCGGAAUUAUUGGGCGUAAAGAGCUCGUAGGCGGUUUGUCGCGUCUGCUGUGAAAUCCCGAGGCUCAACCUCGGGCGUGCAGUGGGUACGGGCAGACUGGAGUGCGGUAGGGGAGAAUGGAAUUCCUGGUGUAGCGGUGGAAUGCGCAGAUAUCAGGAGGAACACCGAUGGCGAAGGCAGUUCUCUGGGCCGUAACUGACGCUGAGGAGCGAAAGCG
rnacentral:rRNA from 1 species